CCCGGGGAGCCCCACUUCUGAGGUGGCCGCAGACCCAGGCUCAGCCACGCCCUCGGUGCCUCGGUUUCCCUUUCGUACCCUCUUACGCGUCUCUACAUCCUCCCCACCCCGGAGAUGGGGCCGCCCGAGGGGAGUUGCCCGCCUGGCAGCGUCGCCUCCGCCUUUGUUUCCCGCCCAGAGGGAUGCUGGCAGGGAUCGCUGGAAGCAUCUAACUACUCCGCCAUCUUGGCCCCGCCUUACCCCAGAGCAACCUUAGAAAUUGUUUAGAGAUGGCAAGACUGUUGUCAGCCUGGGUACCUGGAUCACUGCAUUGAGAAAGCCCACCACAGUGACGGGCCUGUCACCUGUCCGUUGGUGAUUGAUCGAUCGUGGUCCAGCAUGCAGAAGUGAGUGUGUGGUGAAAAGCAGCAGAGCUGAUGAGUUGUGAAGACGUGUGUUUGAAGGCUGCCACACUCCCUACUCCAGGGAUCAGGAAUUAACUUGCAACAACCCUCGAUGAAGAUUCUGUAGCAGUGGUAAAGACAUCUGCUCCCUCCACGAUGUAAAGAGAUCCUGAGAGAUCCUGAAAGAUGGCUGAGAGCCUAAAAUUAAAAUCCUGGAUCCUUGAGUCAUGUCCUGCCGUAGGCCACUCUCUGUUGUGCUCAGCUAUUGUUCUGUCAGAGACUUCCAUGAACACUAGGAGUUGAAAAGAAAAAGAAAAAAAAUGAAAGAAAACAGGAAAAAGAAGCAAAGGCAGCAGCUGUGAUGUAUGACCUGCCCGUGGAGAGACUCAUGUGACGAAGACCUGAGGGAGGGUCCUGAUCAACAGACAGACAGGAGUGAGGCCCCCCAGUCCAAAAGCUCAUGGAGUCCUGCUGAUAACACGGAAGUGAGUAGGGAACAGAUCCUCCCCAGUCAAGACUCAGUUGAGACCACAACCAGAGGCUCCUGAGAACUUGGAGAAGUCACCAGAUUGUGAGUUCCAGCGGACAGGGACCACAUGGGUCAUUUUCAGAACCAGCUCCUGGACGACCUGCUGAUGUUGAUCCUGCUCCUGCACCAACACUGGAGCUCCAUAGUGCACCAACUCCUCCGUCACCAGCUCCAUCACCAGCGUCAGAUGGACAGUCAGCUGGAGGCGUAGAGUUCAAUCGUAGCCACCUCCUGAAUGGCUCCCAGACCACCUGCUGAUGUCGAUCCGGCUCCUGCUCAACAUAAGAGCUCUAUAGAACACCAGGUCCUCCAUCUCCAGCUCUGCCUGCAAGUCCAUUUGCUGCAAGUCCUCCACAGCCACCCCUCAUUCACAGCUAGGGAACGUUAGCUCCAGAAACACACCCUUUCUUCAACUCACCUGAGCGGGAAUUUCUUUGGUUUUGUGGUAAUAUUUUUCCAGAUCACUUUAUACUUCAUAGUUUAUUCUAUUUUAACUGGUAGAUUUCUCAUAAAAUUUGUUUUAAUAAUUUUUAAGUGUGUAGUAUACUGGCUUUAUGUACUUUUACAAUCUUAUUCAACCAUCAUCAGUUCCUACUUCAGAACAUUUUCAUCACCACUGUGAUGGUUAAUGUUAUGUGUCAGUUUGGUUCAGUGAUGAUUCCCAGGGUUUGGCAGACGUUAUGUAAUUAGCCUCCAUUUUAUGAUCUGAUGUGAGCAGCCAAUCCAUUGGAAGAGGAGUUUCCUUGGAGGAGUGAACUGCAAAUUAACACAUCUCCUGGUACCUGGUAUGCAGCCGUUCAUCUGGCCAAUGCCUUUUUCUUCAUCCUUCUUUUGAAGGACAGGCCCUUCUUGGUGAAUCACUGCGCAGAUCUGCAGGAUUUUGGAGCAAAGCCCUGCCAUCCUCUGCAGAUAACUCCUUUCCUUUCUUUUUUUUAAAUAAUUUUUAUGGUGCUUUAAGUGAAAGUUUACAAAUCAAGUCAGUCUGUCACAUAUAAGCUUAUAUACACCUUACUCCAUACUCGCACUAACUCUCCCCCAAUGAGUCAGCCCGCACCCUCCUUCCAGUCUCUCGUUUCGUGACAAUUUUGCCAGUUUCUAUCCCUCUCUAUCCUCCCAUCUCCCCUCCAGACAGGAGACGCCAACACAGUCUCAAGUGUCUACCUGAUACAAGUAGCUCACUCUUCAUCAGCAUCUCUCUCCAACCCAUUGUUCAGUCCCUUCCAUGUCUGAUGAGUUGUCUUCGGGAAUGGUUCCUGCCCUGGGCCAACAGAAGGUUUGGGGACCAUGACCGCCGAGAUUCUUCUAGUCUCAGUCAGACCAUUAAGUCUGGUCUUUUUAUGAGAAUUUGGGGUCUGCAUCCCACUGAUCUCCUGCUCCCUCAGAGGUUCUCUGUUGUGCUCCCUGUCAGGGCAGUCAUGGGUUGUGGCCGGGCACCAACUAGUUCUUCUGGUCUCAGGAUGAUGUAAGUCUCUGGUUCAUGUGGCCCUUUCUGUCUCUUGGGCUCAUAGUUAUUUUGUGACCUUGGUGUUCUUCAUUCACCUUUCAUCGAGAUGGGUUGAAAACGACUGAUGCAUCUUAGAUGGCCGCUUGUUAGCAUUUAAGACCCCAGAUGCCACGCUUCAAAGUGGGAUGCAGAAUGUUUUCAUAAUAGAAUUAUUUUGCCAGUUGACUUAGAAGUCCCCUUAAGCCAUAGUCCCCAAACCCCCACCCUUGCUCCGCUGACCUUCAAAGCAUUCAGUUUAUC